CAAACGUUACUGGUCCCAAACCAUCCAGGCCUUAAAGGACACCGCCGAGAAUAACCGCAGGUUCGCUGACCGUAAACGCAUCCCAGCCCCGAGUUAUCAACCAGGUCAACAAGUCUGGCUCUCCACCCGUGACCUCCCCUCCCGAGCAGCCUCACGCAAACUGUCCCCACGAUUCACGGGCCCCUACGAGAUAACCUCCAUACCCAGCCCCACGACUGUCCGUCUCCGCCUCCCAUCCCACUCCCGAGUUCAUCCCACGUUCCAUGUCUCUCAGAUCAAGCCAGUCAACUCCAGCCCCUUGUGCCCUCCGGCCGAACCCCCACCACCCUCCCAGGACCAUCAUGGACGUCAGAUCCAACGGAUCGUGGCCUCCCGUCGACGAGGUAAGGGGUUCCAGUAUCUCGUCGACUGGGUGGGCCGCGGUCCCGAGGAUCGGUCCUGGAUCCCGGGCUCCGCCAUCCCGGACCGCUCAUUCAUUGACUCGUUUCUCUCCUCUCGUCCGUCUACGUCCUCCUCUGGGCCGCCAGGUGGCGACCCUUGAGGGGGGGUGGUGUCAGGACUCAGCUGGCAGGGCCAUGCAGCCUGUUGCCAUCUUUGCUUCGUCCACAGGUGUUCGCGGUUGGCUGGUGGGCGGAGUAGGCGCACCUGCAGCUCGUCAGCAGCACCGGAGCUGCACUAUAAGAUCUGCACUCGGACAGCGGGUGGAUGCCUGAGUGUUACCGUUGUGGUACCUCCUCGUGCUCCUUCGUCCUCCUUCGAGCUCCUCAGUCCUACUCGUGCUGCCUCUUGGGAUUUCCCCGUUCAUCUUGAGUGGAGCCUUGCUUCUCGGACGAGACGCACUCCCGACGACUCCCAGGUUCCAUCCGCUGUCCUGAAUCCUCCGGUGCUGCUCGGACCUCUCGCCCCGCUCUCAGCCGCCCGGACACCUACGACCAACAUUCAGCUGAGUCCACACUGCCGUCCUCCCCGGUCGGGUUUCUUGCACCUCGUGAUCGACCUGGUCCCCGCCGCCCGAGUUCCUGCCCGAGUAUCUUCCUGCCCGCAGAUUAGCUUCGCCGACUAGCAUUCUCGCCUGUGUAAACAAUAAACCUUUUAAAACUUA